rnacentral:rRNA from 1 species
UACGUAGGGGCAAGCGUUGUCCGGAAUCAUUGGGCGUAAAGCGCGUGUAGGCGGCUUCGUAAGUCCGUUGUGAAAGUCCAGGGCUCAACCCUGGAAUGCCGAUGGAUACUGCGGAGCUAGAGUCCGGAAGAGGCGAGUGGAAUUCCUGGUGUAGCGGUGAAAUGCGCAGAUAUCAGGAGGAACACCAAUGGCGAAGGCAGCUCGCUGGGACGGUACUGACACUGAGGAGCGAAAGCGUGGGGAGCGAACAGG